GCAGCUCCAGGCAGGACAGGAAGUGAAGGCAGCAGAAUACAGGACGCAGUCAGGGUUAGUGUAAUAACUCCAGGGAAGACACAGACUGUGAGAACAACAGCAGCAUUGCAGGAAGAUUUUGGAGACCAUAGCAGUCCUCUGCAACACUGGAUAUGAGUGUGCCAUAUACCAUCUGAAGGAACCGGCGGGUCA